AGAGUUUGAUCCUGGCUCAGGACGAACGCUGGCGGCGUGCUUAACACAUGCAAGUCGUGGGCACCAGCAAUGGUGACCGGCGAACGGGUGCGUAACACGUGAGCGACCUACCGAUACGUGGGGGAUAGCCGGCCCAACGGCCGGGUAAUACCGCAUACGCCGAGCUUGCUUCAUGGCUUGCUCGGGAAACCUCCGGGGCG
rnacentral:rRNA from 1 species